AUGCAGCUGUCGAGUUUCAAAUAGGACGAAACGCGAGUCCUGGAU
rfam:Schistosoma margrebowiei strain Zambia genome assembly, scaffold: SMRZ_contig0000381